CUCCCUGCAAAGCCCCCGGGGAAGGAGGAGCAGGAGCCUGGUGCACAGGGAAGGGGGCUGCGCGCUCCACGGGCUGCUGCCACGACACCCCACCUGCCCCCAUGCCGCAGCGUGGGCAGCGGGGCUGCGCACGAGGUUGGGGCUUCUUGCACAGGAACGUGGGUGACAGAGGCUGCAGGUCCCCUCAAGCGGCAUUAAAAACUCCUCAGAUCUCGGAUUAGCAAGAAGAGGCCACUCCACCCACGUGGUGCGCCGGGAGGGUUCAGGUGGUGACAAGAAGGGCGACGCAGGGUGCUAGGCAGCCGGUCUAAGCGAGGCAGAUGUGUCACAGCACACAGGACCCGUAGCCCCAGCUGACCCAGAGGGGAUUAACUGGCCUGGCAAACCCAGUCUGGAAACCGGCACACCUAGAUGGAGCAUGGAGCCAGCCAGACUUUGACAAUAGGUUGGGAUCUCCUGGCCUGGGGAAACACCCUCGGCAAACAGCAGAGGAACUUUGGAUCAAUACAAACAAGGUGUCACCUGUCCUUGGAGUCUCUCAGCCAAAGUGCUUGGUAAACAUUUGUUAAUGGAGUCUCACAACAUCCCCCUGGGAAGGUGAGUUGCAUUGGGCUGGCUGGGACUUUACGAAACAGACACUCCCUGAGCUGUGUGGUUAUUAAAGAUCCCGUGAUGCUUUGCACCAGGGUAGCAGUUGAUCCAAGGCUCAGAUUUUGCAGUGUGUUGUCCACGGGCUGCCUCGUGGCAGACACGUUCCACCCUAGAGGGGGUGCAUGUCGGUGGUGGGGGACGGGUGGUGUUACUCAGCUUGGCCACAGUCUUAAGGGCCUGAGCACCUUUUGCUCCCUGCUGUGAGCAGCACCGUACAGGGUCAGGCCCGUGGAGCGAGCCGGUUCUGUCACAUUCGUUCCCUUCCACCCAGGGCAGAGAGGCCAACUUUGGAGCACGGCAGAGGCACCUCAGCGCGGUGCACCUC